CGUAUCUGUGCAGUCCAUUGAAAAAUUAGUCUGCCUAGAACAAAUUGUAGGGGAUGAACAGUUUGGUUACUGGACUUCUGGAACGAACAUGAACUGCUCAAAUCAGCGAUAUCGUUGGUGCUCACCUGAAAUUAGAGACUUCAUCAAACCAAGUUUGAAUCUCGACAACAGAUCUAUUAACUUCAGGCCAGAUCCAAAUAUUCCUAUUAAUCCUGAAACGUCUUCAAAAUUAUGCGUUGUAUUGCAAAAAUCAACGACUUUGGGGCCAAUUUUGACCGUUGACAGGUGUGAAAUGUCGGUUCGGAAACCUAUUUGCGAAGGUCGCGUGAAGGCGCAGUCACACCUGCAAGAGGUUUUCAACGAGUGCAAAGCGACACAUCGCGUCACGCAACGUAGAUUUUCAUAUUAAUAAUUAUUAAUACUUAUUAUCUCGUAUAUUUCAGGCGAGGUUGA